rnacentral:rRNA from 1 species
UAGAAGGCAGCAGUGGGGAAUAUUGCACAAUGGGCGCAAGCCUGAUGCAGCCAUGCCGCGUGUAUGAAGAAGGCCUUCGGGUUGUAAAGUACUUUCAGUCGUGAGGAAGGUGUUAAGGUUAAUAACCUUAGCAAUUGACGUUAGCGACAGAAGAAGCACCGGCUAACUCCGUGCCAGCAGCCGCGGUAAUACGGAGGGUGCGAGCGUUAAUCGGAAUUACUGGGCGUAAAGGGCACGCAGGCGGUUAAUUAAGUUGGAUGUGAAAUCCCCGGGCUUAACCUGGGAAUGGCAUUCAAGACUGGUUAGCUAGAGUCUUGUAGAGGGGGUAGAAUUCCAUGUGUAGCGGUGAAAUGCGUAGAGAUGUGGAGGAAUACCGGGUGGCGAAGGCGGCCCCUGGGACAAAGACUGACGCUCAUGUGCGAAAGCGUGGGGAGCGAAACAGGAUUAGAUACC